UUGCAUGAUGGAAGCUUUCAUACUUUUUUCAAGGAGAGUGAAUAUUCCUUCAGUGCUAUAUCAGUGAGGAGUUUUCAGGGCCAACAGCUUUGGAGCAGAGGCUGAGUGGUAGUAUAUUUCUCCUACACUA